AUUCCAGCUCCAAUAGCGUAUAUUAAAGUUGUUGCGGUUAAAAAGCUCGUAGUUGGAUUUCUGCCGAGGACGACCGGUCCGCCCUCUGGGUGAGUAUCUGGCUCGGCCUGGGCAUCUUCUUGGAGAACGUAACUGCACUUGACUGUGUGGUGCGGUAUCCAGGACUUUUACUUUGAGGAAAUUAGAGUGUUUCAAGCAGGCACACGCCUUGAAUACAUUAGCAUGGAAUAAUAAUAUAGGACCUCGGUUCUAUUUUGUUGGUUUCUAGAGCUGAGGUAAUGAUUAACAGGGACAGUCAGGGGCACUCGUAUUCCGCCGAGAGAGGUGAAAUUCUCAGACCAGCGGAAGACGAACCACUGCGAAAGCAUUUGCCAGGGAUGUUUUCAUCA
rnacentral:rRNA from 1 species